AAUAGGGCUGGACUUCCUGCCAGCCAGGGGAGGCAGAGUUAGAAGAUGAAGUAGGGGAUUCAGCCACCAGAGAGGUACAAGAGACGUCAGGACAGAGGAGCUGGAGGAGAAAAGCUGCAAAGUGCAAGUAUCUCUGGGAUGUGCCUGAGAGGAAACCAGAUUAGCUUAGAGGGGAAGAAGAAUUCUAAAACCCAAGAGAACGACCUCUCCCAAAUGUUUGGAAACAGUUUCUGACCUAUCUACUCAGAAACUCUGAGGGCUGAGAAUUUGGAAAUGCAGCAGAAUGAAGAGAAGUGAAGCCCAUGAUUUCAGCCGGAUUUAGAUAACGGACCCCAAAGUUGCUCAGAGUCGGGCUGCAUGGAGGCUCAGGUGGACACAGGAA